rnacentral:rRNA from 1 species
AAAUUGAAGAGUUUGAUCAUGGCUCAGAUUGAACGCUGGCGGCAGGCCUAACACAUGCAAGUCGAACGGUAACAGGAAGCAGCUUGCUGCUUCGCUGACGAGUGGCGGACGGGUGAGUAAUGUCUGGGAAACUGCCUGAUGGAGGGGGAUAACUACUGGAAACGGUGGCUAAUACCGCAUAACGUCGCAAGACCAAAGAGGGGGACCUUCGGGCCUCUUGCCAUCAGAUGUGCCCAGAUGGGAUUAGCUUGUUGGUGAGGUAACGGCUCACCAAGGCGACGAUCCCUAGCUGGUCUGAGAGGAUGACCAGCCACACUGGAACUGAGACACGGUCCAGACUCCUACGGGAGGCAGCAGUGGGGAAUAUUGCACAAUGGGCGCAAGCCUGAUGCAGCCAUGCCGCGUGUAUGAAGAAGGCCUUCGGGUUGUAAAGAGGUUGUGCCCUUGAGGCGUGGCUUCCGGAGCUAACGCGUUAAGUAGACCGCCUGGGGAGUACGGCCGCAAGGUUAAAACUCAAAUGAAUUGACGGGGGCCCGCACAAGCGGUGGAGCAUGUGGUUUAAUUCGAUGCAACGCGAAGAACCUUACCUGGUCUUGACAUCCACAGAAGAAUCCAGAGAUGGAUUUGUGCCUUCGGGAACUGUGAGACAGGUGCUGCAUGGCUGUCGUCAGCUCGUGUUGUGAAAUGUUGGGUUAAGUCCCGCAACGAGCGCAACCCCUUAUCCUUUGUUGCCAGCGAUUAGGUCGGGAACUCAAAGAGACUGCCAGUGAUAAACUGGAGGAAGGUGGGGAUGACGUCAAGUCAUCAUGGCCCCUUACGACCGUGGCUACACACGUGCUACAAUGGCGCAUACAAAGAGAAGCGACCUCGCGAGAGCAAGCGGACCUCAUAAAGUGCGUCGUAGUCCGGAUUGGAGUCUGCAACUCGACUCCAUGAAGUCGGAAUCGCUAGUAAUCGUGGAUCAGAAUGCCACGGUGAAUACGUUCCCGGGCCUUGUACACACCGCCCGUCACACCAUGGGAGUGGGUUGCAAAAGAAGUAGGUAGCUUAACCUUCGGGAGGGCGCUUACCACUUUGUGAUUCAUGACUGGGGUGAAGUCGUAACAAGGUAACCGUAGGGGAACCUGCGGUUGGAUCACCUCCUUACCUUAAAGAA